AAACUAAAGGGUAGAACACGUUCUGCUAAUUUUAGAGGUAAAAAGAAAUUAUUCGUAAAAUUGUGAACAGAGGCCAAUAGCCAAAAAGGCAUAACAUACAUAUAGACCAUUUGACCUCGCUUAGAUUUAAGAAUAAUGAGUAUAAGUUUCAUCUGAGCCUACUUAGGCGAGUUCCAUUUACAAAUGGGGCAAAGCAAAUGCAAUAGAUUUCUCAGAGUUGCACCACACACAACGCCGGAGAAGGGCAUCCCGGGCAGGCAAGUACCUCUCGAAUCCCCACAGCCUGGCCGGCAUUGGAAAGCUAAAAUGGUUACCCAGCUCACGUGGGUGCUUAGAAACCAUCAACCCAAAGGUAAACGCCAUUGCCAAGGACAAAAGUCUGUUUCACAUGCUUGAGAGUCAGAAAUAUUGUUUGUUUAAAUAAACCUUAAAAACAACUAGCAUUCAGCACCUAGUCACCGAAAUCAAGGCACAUGUAGCAUUGACCCUA
rnacentral:misc_RNA from 1 species